rnacentral:rRNA from 1 species
CGGGGUGAGUAAUGCUUGGGAAUCUAGCUUAUGGAGGGGGAUAACUACGGGAAACUGUAGCUAAUACCGCGUAGAAUCGGGAGAUGAAAGUGUGGGACCUUCGGACCACAUGCCAUAGGAUGAGCCCAAGUGGGAUUAGGUAGUUGGUGAGGUAAAGGCUCACCAAGCCGACGAUCUCUAGCUGGUCUGAGAGGAUGACCAGCCACACUGGGACUGAGACACGGCCCAG